AGCUCCAAUAGCGUAUAUUAAAGUUGUUGCAGUUAAAAAGCUCGUAGUUGGAUUUGUGGUGUUCGCAGGCGGCCUGUCACUUAGUGACGGAGCUUGCUUGCGUCGCCAUCCUUGGGUGGAUCCUGUGUGGCAUUAAGUUGUCGCGCUGGGGAUGCCCAUCGUUUACUGUGAAAAAAUUAGAGUGUUCAAAGCAGGCUUACGCCGUUGAAUAUGUUAGCAUGGAAUAAUAAGAUAGGACCUUGGUACUAUUUUGUUGGUUUGCGCACCAAGGUAAUGAUUAAUAGGGACAGUUGGGGGUAUUCGUAUUUCAUUGUCAGAGGUGAAAUUCUUGGAUUUUUGAAAGACGAACUACUGCGAAAGCAUUUACCAAGGAUGUUUUCAUUAAUCAAGAACGAAAGUA
rnacentral:rRNA from 1 species